rnacentral:rRNA from 1 species
UGCGUAAGAAUCUAGCUUUUGGUCGGGGACAACAGUUGGAAACGACUGCUAAUACCGGAUAUGCGGAAACGUGAAAGUUUUAAUGCCAAAAGAAGAGCUUGCGUCCGAUUAGCUAGUUGGUAGGGUAAGAGCCUACCAAGGCACCGAUCGGUAACUGGUCUGAGAGGAUGAUCAGUCACACUGGAACUGAGACACGGUCCAGACUCCUACGGGAGGCAGCAGUGGGGAAUUUUCCGCAAUGGGCGAAAGCCUGACGGAGCAAUACCGCGUGAGGGAGGAAGGCUCUUGGGUUGUAAACCU